CUGGAGGUAUCAGAAGUGCGAAUGCUGACAUAAGUAACGAUAAAGCGGGUGAAAAGCCCGCUCGCCGGAAGACCAAGGGUUCCUGUCCAACGUUAAUCGGGGCAGGGUGAGUCGACCCCUAAGGCGAGGCCGAAAGGCGUAGUCGAUGGGAAACGGGUUAAUAUUCCCGUACUUGGUGUUACUGCGAAGGGGGGACGGAGAAGGCUAUGUUGGCCGGGCGACGGUUGUCCCGGUUUAAGCGUGUAGGUGUGUGUUCCAGGUAAAUCCGGUUCACUUUAACACUGAGGCGUGAUGACGAGGCACUACGGUGCUGAAGCAACAAAUGCCCUGCUUCCAGGAAAAGCCUCUAAGCAUCAGGUAACAUCAAAUCGUACCCCAAACCGACACAGGUGGUCAGGUAGAGAAUACCAAGGCGCUUGAGAGAACUCGGGUGAAGGAACUAGGCAAAAUGGUGCCGUAACUUCGGGAGAAGGCACGCUGACACGUAGGUGAAGUGAUUUACUCAUGGAGCUGAAGUCAGUCGAAGAUACCAGCUGGCUGCAACUGUUUAUUAAAAACACAGCACUGUGCAAACACGAAAGUGGACGUAUACGGUGUGACGCCUGCCCGGUGCCGGAAGGUUAAUUGAUGGGGUCAGCGCAAGCGAAGCUCCUGAUCGAAGCCCCGGUAAACGGCGGCCGUAACUAUAACGGUCCUAAGGUAGCGAAAUUCCUUGUCGGGUAAGUUCCGACCUGCACGAAUGGCGUAAUGAUGGCCAGGCUGUCUCCACCCGAGACUCAGUGAAAUUGAACUCGCUGUGAAGAUGCAGUGUACCCGCGGCAAGACGGAAAGACCCCGUGAACCUUUACUAUAGCUUGACACUGAACAUUGAGCCUUGAUGUGUAGGAUAGGUGGGAGGCUUUGAAGUGUGGACGCCAGUCUGCAUGGAGCCGACCUUGAAAUACCACCCUUUAAUGUUUGAUGUUCUAACGUGGACCCGUGAUCCGGGUUGCGGACAGUGUCUGGUGGGUAGUUUGACUGGGGCGGUCUCCUCCUAAAGAGUAACGGAGGAGCACGAAGGUUGGCUAAUCCUGGUCGGACAUCAGGAGGUUAGUGCAAUGGCAUAAGCCAGCUUGACUGCGAGCGUGACGGCGCGAGCAGGUGCGAAAGCAGGUCAUAGUGAUCCGGUGGUUCUGAAUGGAAGGGCCAUCGCUCAACGGAUAAAAGGUACUCCGGGGAUAACAGGCUGAUACCGCCCAAGAGUUCAUAUCGACGGCGGUGUUUGGCACCUCGAUGUCGGCUCAUCACAUCCUGGGGCUGAAGUAGGUCCCAAGGGUAUGGCUGUUCGCCAUUUAAAGUGGUACGCGAGCUGGGUUUAGAACGUCGUGAGACAGUUCGGUCCCUAUCUGCCGUGGGCGCUGGAGAACUGAGGGGGGCUGCUCCUAGUACGAGAGGACCGGAGUGGACGCAUCACUGGUGUUCGGGUUGUCAUGCCAAUGGCACUGCCCGGUAGCUAAAUGCGGAAGAGAUAAGUGCUGAAAGCAUCUAAGCACGAAACUUGCCCCGAGAUGAGUUCUCCCUGAGACUUAGAGUCUCCUGAAGGAACGUUGAAGACGACGACGUUGAUAGGCCGGGUGUGUAAGCGCAGCGAUGCGUUGAGCUAACCGGUACUAAUGAACCGU
rnacentral:rRNA from 1 species